AUUGAACGCUGGCGGCAUGCUUUACACAUGCAAGUCGAACGGCAGCGGGGUAGUGCUUGCACUACUGCCGGCGAGUGGCGAACGGGUGAGUAAUAUAUCGGAACGUACCGAGUAAUGGGGGAUAACCAAUCGAAAGAUUGGCUAAUACCGCAUACGUCCUGAGGGAGAAAGCGGGGGAUCGCAAGACCUCGCGUUAUUCGAGCGUCCGAUAACUGAUUAGCUAGUUGGUGGGGUAAAGGCCUACCAAGGCGACGAUCAGUAGCGGGUCUGAGAGGACGAUCCGCCACACUGGGACUGAGACACGGCCCAGACUCCUACGGGAGGCAGCAGUGGGGAAUUUUGGACAAUGGGGGCAACCCUGAUCCAGCCAUGCCGCGUGUAUGAAGAAGGCCUUCGGGUUGUAAAGUACUUUUGUUAGGGAAGAAAAGGGAAGUGCUAAUACCACUUUUUGCUGACGGUACCUAAAGAAUAAGCACCGGCUAACUACGUG
rnacentral:rRNA from 1 species